GGUUAAGCGACUAAGCGUACACGGUGGAUGCCCCCUGGCAGUCAGAGGCGAUGAAGGACGUGCUAAUCUGCGAAAAGCGCCGGCGAGGUGAUAUGAACCCUUGACCCGGCGAUGUCCGAAUGGGGAAACCCAGUGUGUUCCGACACACUAUCGUUAACUGAAUACAUAGGUUAACGAGGCGAACCGGGGGAACUGAAACAUCUAAGUACCCCGAGGAAAAGAAAUCAACCGAGAUUCCCCCAGUAGCGGCGAGCGAACGGGGAGCAGCCCGGAGUCUGAAUCAGCUUGUGUGUUAGUGGAACGGUCUGGAAAGUCCGACGGUACAGGGUGAUAGUCCCGUACACGAAAACACACUUGCUGUGA
rnacentral:ncRNA from 1 species